rnacentral:rRNA from 1 species
UACGAAGGGGGCUAGCGUUGCUCGGAAUCACUGGGCGUAAAGCGCACGUAGGCGGAUUGCUAAGUCAGGGGUGAAAUCCUGGAGCUCAACUCCAGAACUGCCUUUGAUACUGGCGACCUUGAGUCCGGGAGAGGUGAGUGGAACUGCGAGUGUAGAGGUGAAAUUCGUAGAUAUUCGCAAGAACACCAGUGGCGAAGGCGGCUCACUGGUCCGGUACUGACGCUGAGACGCGAAAGCGUGGGGAGCGAACAGG